CGAAUGCUGACAUAAGUAACGAUAAAGCGGGUGAAAAGCCCGCUCGCCGGAAGACCAAGGGUUCCUGUCCAACGUUAAUCGGGGCAGGGUGAGUCGACCCCUAAGGCGAGGCCGAAAGGCGUAGUCGAUGGGAAACAGGUUAAUAUUCCUGUACUUGGUGUUACUGCGAAGGGGGGACGGAGAAGGCUAUGUUGGCCGGGCGACGGUUGUCCCGGUUUAAGCGUGUAGGCUGGUUUUCCAGGCAAAUCCGGAAAAUCAAGGCUGAGGCGUGAUGACGAGGCACUACGGUGCUGAAGCAACAAAUGCCCUGCUUCCAGGAAAAGCCUCUAAGCAUCAGGUAACAUCAAAUCGUACCCCAAACCGACACAGGUGGUCAGGUAGAGAAUACCAAGGCGCUUGAGAGAACUCGGGUGAAGGAACUAGGCAAAAUGGUGCCGUAACUUCGGGAGAAGGCACGCUGAUAUGUAGGUGAAGCGACUUGCUCGUGGAGCUGAAAUCAGUCGAAGAUACCAGCUGGCUGCAACUGUUUAUUAAAAACACAGCACUGUGCAAACACGAAAGUGGACGUAUACGGUGUGACGCCUGCCCGGUGCCGGAAGGUUAAUUGAUGGGGUUAGCGCAAGCGAAGCUCUUGAUCGAAGCCCCGGUAAACGGCGGCCGUAACUAUAACGGUCCUAAGGUAGCGAAAUUCCUUGUCGGGUAAGUUCCGACCUGCACGAAUGGCGUAAUGAUGGCCAGGCUGUCUCCACCCGAGACUCAGUGAAAUUGAACUCGCUGUGAAGAUGCAGUGUACCCGCGGCAAGACGGAAAGACCCCGUGAACCUUUACUAUAGCUUGACACUGAACAUUGAGCCUUGAUGUGUAGGAUAGGUGGGAGGCUUUGAAGUGUGGACGCCAGUCUGCAUGGAGCCGACCUUGAAAUACCACCCUUUAAUGUUUGAUGUUCUAACGUUGACCCGUAAUCCGGGUUGCGGACAGUGUCUGGUGGGUAGUUUGACUGGGGCGGUCUCCUCCUAAAGAGUAACGGAGGAGCACGAAGGUUGGCUAAUCCUGGUCGGACAUCAGGAGGUUAGUGCAAUGGCAUAAGCCAGCUUGACUGCGAGCGUGACGGCGCGAGCAGGUGCGAAAGCAGGUCAUAGUGAUCCGGUGGUUCUGAAUGGAAGGGCCAUCGCUCAACGGAUAAAAGGUACUCCGGGGAUAACAGGCUGAUACCGCCCAAGAGUUCAUAUCGACGGCGGUGUUUGGCACCUCGAUGUCGGCUCAUCACAUCCUGGGGCUGAAGUAGGUCCCAAGGGUAUGGCUGUUCGCCAUUUAAAGUGGUACGCGAGCUGGGUUUAGAACGUCGUGAGACAGUUC
rnacentral:rRNA from 1 species